rnacentral:misc_RNA from 1 species
CAUUCCUUUGCGACAACGCAAUCCGAGCGUUUCUCCCCCAUCAAUAUAGAUGUGGCAGAACCGGCAGCGGCAGCGAUCGUCGUUCUUUUUGGAGCACAAGGCAACCGUACGGGGCAACUAAGGGAGGCAAACCCCCCGCCCGCAAAACUUUCCGCAUCCGAAACCACGAGCAGUGGACAUAUGGGCCAACGCAACCAGUUUGUGGCAUGCGUGGAACACAUGCAUCGCUACGAGGUCGGCCCCGUGCCGUGACAGGCAAAGGGCGAAGGGGAACAAGCAUGCAUUCGAUUUCCACCACAACGGGUAAGCAACACAGGAACCUAGCGUCACCACGAAAAGAUUUUCGGGCGCUUCUACUUGAAGGGACCGCGGGAAAAUAGUUCGGUGCGCGAAGCAUGGAGCCUACAUUCCCAAACGAUCCUAACACCACUCACGC